UUUUGGUUCAUCUCUUUAAAGUCAUCUGCCUUCUUCUUACUUAGUUCUCAGUUCCAACGAUACGAUUGAAUUCCCAGACAAAGAUUUUCACUUUGAUCUACACUUUCUCUUGGUUACAAUUGAAUAAAUUUUCUCACUUCAAAAUUUUCAUCUUUAGUUCAAACUUUCCCUAUAUCCUUUCUCAUCGAUCGACUGUUUUUGAGUGCUGCCAUAUGCAGACACAAUAAAAGGGAGCAUCUGUUACUUCGAUUCAACUCAUCAUUUACGUUGGGAACAGGGUCCUCCGGGUGACCAAUUAAUAAAUUCUCCGAAUCUGAUUCCGUUUUUUGGGUGUUGAUCGGCUGUUUUUGGGUGCUGCCAUAUGCAGACACAACAAAAGGGUUUGCGACGGUGGUAGCCAAUCAAAGAGUAUAUGAAAAAGAGCAGUGACGAGGAACUAUAUUUGAAGAAAUUUGCUUACCCAAUGCCUCUGGUGCCACCAGUAACAAGGGCAGUCAUUCUAUUAAGAGACCACCUACCACUCAAUUGUUCACUGGCACUUGCCAUGCUUUCAAUGGCUUCCGACUGGGUUGAGAAAAACGCAAGCUGGAGGGAAAGAAAUGACCAGAUAGAUUUCUUAUCAUGAAAAAGAUGCAAGGAUAGAUGAUACCUGCAUAUGUACGCUACUUGUUAAACCACAAAAAGUACUUUAAGAUUUUGUGAGUUGGGAGGUCAGAGUUUUGAAUCUUGCCUUCUAUCAAUUGUCACUUUAUGUAAUUUUUUUAAAUCCAACAGGUGUCAUAGGGCAUCCGUCUAAUUCAAAGGUAAUUUAGUCUCUUUCUAUUCCUAA